UGGUCACCGUCGUUUUCCUCUGAACUCCCCUCUGUCUCUCUCUUUCACUGGCUUGAACCCCCGGUAUUCAUCCAAAAUUCGUCGUCGUCGCUGCUCUACCCACGAAAUCAACGACUGCGUCGCCGCUGAUCCAGAAGGAGCAAGAUCGGAGUUCGUCGCCGACACUUACGACACCAUAGUUGUAGGGAGUGAAGCCUGGGACGAGUACGCCAACCCUGAAGACAAGUCAAGCAUUCUUUGAUCAUAAUUGAACCUAAUCUGGAGCUAGGUCAUAUUUUGGUUGGUCAGGGUGAGGUUGCAGGUGAAGUCGAAGAGUUGGAGAACUCACAGGAGUGGGAUGAAGAUGAAGGCUUCGACUUUUAGAUCGACUCUAUGCUCAGGCUGUUCCUGUGGCACAGAGUUGCAUCUUUUGUUUUUAGGUGUAAGGCUGUAGGCCUGUCGCGUGUGUUUUAGUUUAGCCUGGAGUUGUAUUAAAACCUUGUCGGUUUGUAUAAUUAAUCGAAGUAUUGUUUCUGUAUCAUUCUGUGCGUAACUGAACUUCCUGGGCGGUUACGUGAAUCAAGUGACGCUUGGAUUCAGUACAGGAUCGAGCCCCCACAAUAACUCCAUGAAUGUAGUGUCUGUGUAGGAUUCCAUGUGUUGCGUGCAAAGGAGAGAAAGGAAGAGAGCAGAUGUUUCACGGGUGUAGUAUUGUGUUGUUCCAUUGUUUCCUGGAUAAGCCUAGAAUUUAAUCGUUUUGUUAAGCUUGAUGCAGUUGUUCUAGCCGUUGCUUGUUUGUUGCCGUUACUUGUUUGU